AGCAGCAUGGCGCAGUCGGAAGCGCGCGGGGCCCAUAUCGAGGUAGAUGUAGAUAUUGAACCCCGAGGUCACUUGAUCGAAACAAGUUGCUGCUA